GAUGAACGCUGGCGGCGUGCCUAAUACAUGCAAGUCGAGCGAACAGACGAGGAGCUUGCUCCUCUGACGUUAGCGGCGGACGGGUGAGUAACACGUGGAUAACCUACCUAUAAGACUGGGAUAACUUCGGGAAACCGGAGCUAAUACCGGAUAAUAUAUUGAACCGCAUGGUUCAAUAGUGAAGGACGGUUUUGCUGUCACUUAUAGAUGGAUCCGCGCCGCAUUAGCUAGUUGGUAAGGUAACGGCUUACCAAGGCAACGAUGCGUAGCCGACCUGAGAGGGUGAUCGGCCACACUGGAACUGAGACACGGUCCAGACUCCUACGGAAGGCAGCAGUAGGGAAUCUUCCGCAAUGGGCGAAAGCCUGACGGAGCAACGCCGCGUGAGUGAUGAAGGUCUUCGGAUCGUAAAACUCUGUUAUUAGGGAAGAACAAAUGUGUAAGUAACUAUGCACGUCUUGACGGUACCUAAUCAGAAAGCCACGGCUAACUACGUG
rnacentral:rRNA from 1 species